rnacentral:misc_RNA from 1 species
AAUUGGACUGUUCUGGACCACCACACAUACUCAAAUAUAGUUAUCUAUAGCAGCAGAAGAAAAGCAGCGAGAGAUCUGAGAGAGAGAAGAGAGCGUGGUUCGACAGUGACACUCAUCGAUCGGAGGAGAAACCGGAGGAAGAAAGAACAACUUCACUUAAGGAAAAGAAGAAGAUCGGAGAGAGUAGGGUAACGGCGUUCAUCUCCGACGCCGGU